rnacentral:rRNA from 1 species
UAGACAACUCUCAACAACGGAUAUCUAGGCUCCCGUAUCGAUGAAGAACGCAGCGAAAUGCGAUACGUAGUGUGAAUUGCAGAAUUCCGUGAACCAUCGAAUCUUUGAACGCAAAUUGCGCCCGAGGCUUCGGCCAAGGGCAUGUCUGCCUCAGCGUC